GCAGGGGCACAUGCAAUAUCGUAAGCUAGCCUGGUGUCCCUAUAAAGAUCCUCGUGAGUGUUGACAGUAGUGGAAGGCUGAGAAUGGUCAUCCAGUCGCAUCUGUUGGUCAUCUUAGGAUAAGUCUAAAGUCGUGAAUCCAGUUAAUCACACUAAGAAUCCAGUGAUCACAACAAUAAUGUUGACAUAAGCCAAGCUACAACAGCGCGUGCACGAAAGAGGUACAAAUUUGUUAUUCCUAAAGCCAAAAACAAUGGAUUGCAAAACCCAUAAUGGAGCCAAAGUUCCAUAGAGACCUUAACGAUAUACUAGCUGCAGUUCUUGAGAGAAGGAGCACUACCCACAAGUCACUGAACUUUGAGCUUAAUAUUGCAGCAAUGCUUGGACUACUCAAGGAAACUGUUACAGUAAACUACAAAAGCAGAUUCUGACGCUAGCUAGCUAAAAACUUUUACACUGGCCACUGUGGUCCAUCAACACUUUCUUGAAAUCCAACAUAUUCCUUAGUUUUAUAAAAAAAAAGUGUUCUCUGAUAAACGUCACAACACAUGCUGAUAGCACUCUUCUUACUUCCCUGCUCAUUUUCCUGUGUACCCAGUAUAUAAACUGCUGGGAAGAUGUCAAUCUCAACAAUCUGUAAUGUCAAGUAUUUACAUGACGCAAACGACUUCAGUACGUUCUACCACACUACUAACCUGCAGGUUAGAGGCUUCGUGAUGGAAUUCUGUCUCACUUUAACCAUUUCUACCACCGCUGUGCGCAGCACCCAUCUAUUUAGGCACACAGAAGAAAAAUACUCGUGCUGAGUGAUGCAACUGAAACAAUGCAACAUUUAGUCUAGUUGAUCCAUUUCUUGCCAACAAAGACAUUCUUUACUGGUAGGCUUGAUAGCACACGUUCCACAGCUACACCACUCCGUGUUGCCCACUCUCUCGCCAUCUUCAACUGCAUUUGAUCUUCUUCCGUCGUCACCGUCUACAUUUUUCGUAUUAUCUGCAUCUUCCGUACUCCAAGAAUCAUCAACUACUCUACGCUCAGACUCAAAACGGUAAUGUUCAAUGUCAGCCAUGUCCAAGUCUACAUCUGGCAGCUCCCACGUAUAUUAGCGUUGUACUGUUCGCAUCAUGAACGAAUGGCCUCAUAAUAUAUAACGUCGACAGACUACACAGUUACAACCCCAUAAUUUACAAGCUUCUGCUUGCAAUAGGAGAAGGGUGAGCGCUGUUAAUCAUUGAUAGAUUUAUCACUCACACUAGUGCCUGGCAUCUGAAACUUACACACAAAACCAUGGGAGUUUCCCUUUACUGCAUUUUCUGUGGGCGUGCACUGUCCUAAGGUACAAAAAUUUAUUAUGAAGAAUUAUGCAGACGUCGAGAUUUUUGAAAGAACUGUUUCUUAGAGGCUGCAGUGGCGGAUUUAGAUAGGAGCAUUGAGAACAAGCCCCCUCUUCACAAAUGCUCUCAAUUGCUCAUGCUAUAUUUCUGUGCGCAAUUGGAAGGUUUGGCCUUUGCAGCGAUACUAAACUAGUAAAAAUGGGUAAAGCGUCGUGUUGUAGCUUUCGUGUCUCCACAUCUGGGAUAAAUGCAUAGGUACAGCUGAGACGUAGCAGGCCGUAGGAUGAGAGGGUUCGGGAAGUUCAAACGAAUCCCCCGCACGUUGAGAAAGGUCCGCUUCUUCAAUGAACAUAGUUUCUACUCAGGAAUUGCGCCUACAUCUCAAGCGUAUAGAAUUAGAUUCUCUUAAUAUUACACACCCUCAUCCUACAUGUUCUACUUAAUAACUAGCAUUAUUGUAAUGUUAGUAUUAGUUAUUACAUGGGUAGCUGGUUUUAUGGCAUUUAUUGACCCGAUACCUCACGGGAUUAUCAACGAGAUAAUUGACCGAGCCGGGGGCAGGUUCAAUUAUUGAGGUCAUAGCUAGGCUCUGAGGCCCGAGACGUCCAUAAUGCCAUAAACACCACAUACCCAUAAUAUGUAAUUUAUUGUAUAGGCGUGGAUUUGCAUCACCUUUUAAUGCUGCUGAAUGGGACAGCCCAUGUGAAGCAGCAACACCUGCACUUCUCUUCCACUUUUCAAAUUGUAGCGUUACAUUCUACAUGGGCAACAAUCAAUAAAUAACUUGUUUGUGCUUGUAACCUUGCUGACGUAAUUAGUAGAUUUAAUAGUGUUAUGUGUCUGUCCUAAGUGCGUUGUGUUGUGUGUUGGUAGCUAAUAGCUUGCGAAAGUUUGUAUAAGGGAAAGGUGCUAAUAGACUGGAUGACAUUUAGUGUAUUGUAUUCGAGCCUGAUGUUUACUCUAAAAUUUACCCAGAGUAUAUGCUGUUGCUAUGACAGUGAGUUGAUUAUCUGUAUAUUUUACCUCCACGUGACCUGUGCAAACGCUGCAACUGGCUCAUAUUGCGUACCCAACCACACCCAUACAAUAUGGAGUAUAUGUUUCGAUUGGAUUACCGCUGGGACAAGCAAUAGCGUAAUUUCAUUGAUGCAUGUAUACUCUUGUAUGCCAUAGCAGUGUUACAAAUUGUGAUCAAUAUAAGGCAAUGAUGUCAACAGCAACUUCACGGUACAAGUCUGGGGUAUAAUACAUCGACAUACAUACAUACAUGCAUGCAUGCAUACAUACAUACAUGCGUACGUAUAUACAUCGCAAAUAGCAAAUAGAUAAGGAGCUGCCGUUAAACGGUAAUGCCCUCUGGCGGAUGGCUGGGUUCCUGUGCUCUAAGCAGGAGCUGAUGGCUGUGCUAAGCGAUCUCCUGCAGUGUGGCCAGGUGCUCGCAGGAGCACCGACUGCGACGCCAACUGAGGUGUGUGCACCCGAAAGUCCCACCCGGACAGCAGUGGCUGAUGGACUUUGUCGGAAUCCCAUACAUAAGUACAUACAUACAUACAUUUCAUUUUUGCAUCUAGAAUUACCCGCAACAAACCGAUCCAUUUAAUUGUGGAAUAUGGACUUGUGUGGUAAGUCUGUAUAAACUCGUCUACUAAUUCCAAAAGUAAAUGUAUAUACUUGUUGUUACAGAACAUGCUUUCAGCAGCUGUGGACAAUCCUCGUGUAGCCAGCAACAUCAAUCCCAAUGACAUGAGGACAUGGAUAUUGCAUCGAAUUGUUCUUACAGGGGCCGUUGAAAGAGAGAACAGAAAGAUGAACUAUUUGAAAACGACCAUGAUGAGGAUCCACAUUCUAGUGAUUGCAUUACAGGGACAGAAACAACAAUUCAUCAAGCGAACACCUUACAGCUAAUGACUCUUUAACGGUAUCAACACUGCAAAAAAAUUCAGAUACACACUGUAUCUAUUUGGACAUAUGGUUAUCACUAAUCUGCUUAUGCAAGGUAUCGUUCAAGCCAGGAAAAGUACCCUUUUCUGUUGAAGGCACAACAGAUCCCGACAGAUCAAGUUAUUCUUCGAAGGUUCAUACACUGUGUAUUGUGUUUCUGUGUUCCAUACGUUUUUUGUUGUUGUUAAACAGAAAGUCAAAGAAAGGAAACUGAUAAAACGUGAUUAUAAUAUUAGAUCGUCUGCAAAACGGAAAAGAACAGAAAAUAAACAAUUCGAGUGAUGAAUUGAAUCAACUGAAGUUAUCGAAUGUACUGUUGAUGAAAUAGACGGGACAUUGUAAUACCUGGAACAGAACUGGUAUAUUAGAGCAUUGCUGAAAGCAUGUCCUGUCCGGAGCUCCCGAAAAUCUGGAAGAUCGCUCAGUUUUCACGACAUGGGAAAGAAAUCCAAGAAGCAGAACACCUCCUGGUAGGAGCCAAGUUUCCAAAGGCUAUUCAAACUAAAGUCAAAAUUUUUCUGAAAACUUGGUAUUUCCAAAACGAAGUGCAGCCGUGCAAGAGCCAUGAAAUCGAUGACUUUAUGCAGUGGAUGGGAGAAACAGGGAACUGGAGAUACGAGAACAAAUCCAUGCACGCUAUUUACCACAUACUGACUUAUCAUCAUCGCCGUAGAUGGGUUACUGACGAAUUUGAUAAAAAAAUUGAAUAAAGAAAAAAUAAGUAUUUUAUGCUUAGACGGUUUCAGAUAAGUGAAACGUGCUGUUUUAAAAUUUUUAAAUUAAUUUCAGUUUUAUCUCUAGAUAAGAAAGAAUAGCAAAUAUAUUUACAUC